UCAGGAUGCACUAAGGCCAGAUCGUUCUUCUUCAACACAUUUUGGACUACCAAGGGCUCUGAUGGAAGUCCGCAAGAUACAACCAAGGAAAACACUGUUUACUGGGAUGAUGCAUCUGAUGGAUCAUGAUAAA